GGGGGCCGUUACACUGUAAGAGAUGUAGUCUGAGGUCUCACAGUGAACCGGUCUCUUU
ensembl:miRNA